UUUUAUCAUGCCAUUAGAUGUUUCUUGAGAAAGUUUCGGAAGAAAGAAACACCAUUAAAUGCAAUUUUAGCAGGUUCAAUAGCUGGCUUGUCCAUAUUAGCUUUAGAUGAUUCAAGUCGAAGGCGACACUUGCCUUGUAUCUCCUAGCUAGACUGGCUCAGUGUGCUUAUAACUCAGCAAAGUCAAGAAUAAGUUUCAUCUAUGGGGGAGUCAUUGGAAACAUGGAGAUUCUUUACUCUUUUCAUUGGCAUGUGCACAGGUGAUUUAGUUUUGCUGUGAUACUGAUGAUGCUUAUAUCAGUGCAAUUAUUUUUCAGCACAGAAGGGAUAAUCGGAUUUCAUUGAUACACAU